rnacentral:lncRNA from 1 species
CUGCAGCCAGAAAGUUGCAGCCGCAGGAGCCCCGGAGGCCCACGACGCAGGGGAAGGAACAGGAAGAGAAGAGUGUGGCCUCCUAGAAAUCUAGCACGGAGAAAGGUAAGUCUGAUUUGUCUUUUUUUGGUCUUGUUUUGUUUUUUUGCUGUCAUUGUAAUUUUUUUUUAUGCAUUCGACUAUUAUACGUUAUACUGUUAUAUUAUGUUGGCCAGACUGGUCUUGAACUCCUGACCUCGUGAUCCUCAGCCUCCCAAAGUGCUGGGAUUACAGGAGUGAACCACCAAGCCCGGCCUGACCUCUUGGCUUUUACCAAAGGAUGUUUGCUUCUGAGGAAGUUGGAAGCUGCAGCCACAAUGUGCCUUUGCAGGGGAGCCUGAGAGCCACAGGUAAGGACAACUGAGUUAGACAGGAGGGAUGAGGCCUAGGGGGAGGGCAGAGUGCAUCACAUUCCCCCACCCAGACCCACAGGCCACGGCAUCACAGCCCCAUGCAAGUCCCGACACCUGUCUCUCUGAUUGUGUGAUUCCCAGUUAUUCCCAUUCCCCUAACAGAUAAACCUCCCAAUGGGUUCAAUGCAUACACUUUUAUUAAAUCUCACUCUGUCACCCAGGCUGGAGGGCAGUGGUGUGAUCUCGGCUCACUGCAAGCUCCGCUUUACAGGUUCAGGCGAUUCUCUUCAGCCUCCUGAGUAGCUGGGACUACAGGCAUGCACCACCAGGCCUGGCUAAUUUUCUUGUAUUUUUAGCAGAAAUAGGGUUUCACCAUGUUGGUCAGGCUGAUCAUGAACUCCUGACCUCAAAUGACCCACCUGCCUCGGCCUCCCAAAGUGCUGGGAUCACCUGCCCACUCCCUUGGUGAGGAGCCCCCUAGGGCACCUCCACCUCCUGGAGCACAAAUGUUGUUGAGAUGAGCAGCUUGAGACAUGGUAUGGACCUAUGCGGAGGUGUCCCUAGACAAUGAUGGCAUCAGAGUGAGAGGCUGGAUGAGGAUGUGUCUGGGGGAGCUUCGAGGUGCUGUGAUGUGUAAGAGAUCAUUAAUUCCAGGAUGCCACCCCAAGGAGAAUAUGCAUGGACCAAAGAUGAGGGGUCCCCAGGAGGGUGAACCAAUAGUAAUGCCCCCAGAUUCCAUCCCUAGCCAGGCUCCCUGCUAAGUGGCAAUUAGAAAAAUUCCUCUUUACAGAAAACAGAGCAUCAAUCAGGUCCCCAAUCACAGAGCCAGUCCUCUACCCUCUAGUGAAAGCUUCCAGUGGACAAGAAAAGCUUGGGAAAGCCAGAAGGAAUAGGAACCACAGCUCAGGCCGGGCCAAGGCUUCAUAAAUCAAAAGGACAUUUUUUU